rnacentral:rRNA from 1 species
CGAGGAGGUAGGGCUUACGCUCGCGUUUGUCUGUUAUAUCUUGGUGGACGAGUCGUCGCGGUUGGGACUGAGGUGCCUACAACGUGCUUUUGAGUGAGUUUGUGUCUCCGUGUGCGCCGUGUGCGGAUAGCUUGCUAUGUAUGUGCGGUUGUGUGUGGAUUGAUGCGGGCUUUAACUUGUCGCCGUUCGGGACGUUGGCGAAAUGGAGCGAUCCGACCCGUCUUGAAACACGGACCAAGGAGUCUAACAUGUGUGCAAGUGUUAGGGUGUGGAAACCCCAGCGCGAAAUGAAAGUGAAGGGCAGCGCAAGUUGUCUGAGGUAGGAAACGUUGCGGACUUCGGUCUGCGGCGUGGCACUAUCGACCGAUCAUGAACCUUCGUGGUGAAAGAUUUGAGUUUGAGCACAUAUGUUGGUACCCGAAAGAUGGUGAACUAUGCCUGAGUAGGGUGAAGCCAGGGGAAACUCUGGUGGAAGCUCGUAGCGAUUCUGACGUGCAAAUCGAUCGUCAAACUUGGGUAUAGGGGCGAAAGACUAAUCGAACCAUCUAGUAGCUGGUUCCCUCCGAAAUUUCCCUCAGGAUAGCAGCAACUUAUUUACGAUAGUUUUAUGAGGUAAAGCGAAUGAUUAGAGGAUUCGGGGAAGAAACUUCCUCGACCUAUUCUCAAACUUUAAAUCUGUAAGACCUGCAGGUUUCUUAAU